UUUUUUUUUUUAAUGUAUAUGCCCUUCUACCUUGGUUUCCCACUUCAUUCUGGAUGGGUUGGUGAUGUUAUGGAUUCAGGGAAUUGAGUCUAUAGGUCUCUGGAAGUUACACUAUUGUUUCAGGACAGACAGGAGUGCGGGAGGAAUGUCACACAAACCCACCUGGGAAGCCUGACCUGUUGUCAGCAAUUUCUCUGAAGACUCCUGGCUCACUCUUUAUGGUAAAUGACAGAGACCACAAUUCGUGUG